rnacentral:lncRNA from 1 species
GUGCUUGCUUCUCCCAGCUUGCCACCUCCAUCUGGGUCAGGAGGAGCAAUUGGAAGCAGAAGCUCCAAGAGAAAGGUGGGAAUGUUGGUAAACCCAGGUGAAAAAAAGCAACAAGGAGGGUUGCUAGGAGAAAUGAAUGAAAUGAUACAAGUAAGGUAGAAAGCAGAGUGCUUUCUACAAGCCAAGAAGUGGCCCCCCAACAGAUACCAAGCUCUGGACCUCCUGGUGCCUUGAUUUUGGACUUCCCAGCCUUUUUCAGACCUGUGAGAAAGGUCCGCCGCAUCUUGGAAGGAAACUUCAAAGCUCAUUUAAAGUCAGCCUCUCACAUAGCCCUGCUGGUCUAACUUUCUUCUGAAUGUGAUUUCAGAAGUAAAACCAGGCCAGGGGCUGGGACUCAGGAGAGACAAAUACCAAGGAGAUAUCAGGAAGAAUAUUGUCCCCAGUAAAUACCAAGUCACAUCAGGAAGAAUAUUGUGGAGAGAGAGGUAAAGAAUCAGGAUGGAAACAGAAAAUAGGCCGAACAAUGGCCAAGCGUCAAAAUCCUACGUCAGGACAGUGCUAGGACUGCUUUUUUCUAUAUCAGACACGUGGGCUCCUGCUGUGUCUUCCUGGAAAGCAGAGGCCAAGGAUGGAGCAGACCAAGAGGAUGCCAGGAAAAAUCACAAAGAAGCCCAGAAAGCACAGCUGGAAGCCAAGAACCCUAUUUUUGGUUUGUGUGGGUGGAAGGUGAGGGACAACAUAUAGUGACCAACAGGAUUCUUCAUUUGAAAGAGAAUGGAGUACAUCAGACCUGUGUAUUUAGGUGAAGUAUGAUAAACAUCAUCAUACUUCAAAGAUUAUGAACAUCAAAGAUUAUGGAAAGGAACA